rnacentral:rRNA from 1 species
AGAGUUUGAUCCUGGCUCAGGAUGAACGCUAGCGACAGGCCUAACACAUGCAAGUCGAGGGGCAGCGGAGAGGUAGCAAUACCUUUGCCGGCGACCGGCGCACGGGUGAGUAACACGUAUGCAAUCCACCUGUAACAGGGGGAUAACCCGGAGAAAUCCGGACUAAUACCCCAUAAUAUGGGUUCUCCGCAUGGAGGGUCCAUUAAAGAGAGCAAUUUUGGUUACAGACGAGCAUGCGCUCCAUUAGCCAGUUGGCGGGGUAACGGCCCACCAAAGCGACGAUGGAUAGGGGUUCUGAGAGGAAGGUCCCCCACAUUGGAACUGAGACACGGUCCAAACUCCUACGGGAGGCAGCAGUGAGGAAUAUUGGUCAAUGGACGAGAGUCUGAACCAGCCAAGUCGCGUGAGGGAAGACUGCCCUAUGGGUUGUAAACCUCUUUUAUAAGGGAAGAAUAAGUUCUACGUGUAGAAUGAUGCCUGUACCUUAUGAAUAAGCAUCGGCUAACUCCGUGCCAGCAGCCGCGGUAAUACGGAGGAUGCGAGCGUUAUCCGGAUUUAUUGGGUUUAAAGGGUGCGUAGGCGGUUUAUUAAGUUAGUGGUUAAAUAUUUGAGCUAAACUCAAUUGUGCCAUUAAUACUGGUAAACUGGAGUACAGACGAGGUAGGCGGAAUAAGUUAAGUAGCGGUGAAAUGCAUAGAUAUAACUUAGAACUCCGAUAGCGAAGGCAGCUUACCAGACUGUAACUGACGCUGAUGCACGAGAGCGUGGGUAGCGAACAGGAUUAGAUACCCUGGUAGUCCACGCCGUAAACGAUGCUCACUGGUUCUGUGCGAUAUAUUGUACGGGAUUAAGCGAAAGUAUUAAGUGAGCCACCUGGGGAGUACGUCGGCAACGAUGAAACUCAAAGGAAUUGACGGGGGCCCGCACAAGCGGAGGAACAUGUG